rnacentral:rRNA from 1 species
UACAGAGACUGCAAGCGUUAUUCGGAUUCACUGGGCGUAAAGGGUGCGCAGGCGGCCGUGUGUGUCAGGUGUGAAAGCCCGGGGCUUAACCCCGGAAUUGCGCCUGAAACUACAUGGCUAGAGCAUUGGAGAGGGUAGCGGAAUUCACGGUGUAGCAGUGAAAUGCGUAGAUAUGCGGAGGAACACCGAUGGCGAAGGCAAUCCCCUGGGCCUGCACUGACGCUCAUGCACGAAAGCGUGGGGAGCAAACAGG